AAGUCGUAACAAGGUUUCCGUAGGUGAACCUGCGGAAGGAUCAUUAUUGAAUACGAUUGGUACUGAUGCUGGCUCUUCACUGAGCAUGUGCUCGUCCAUCUAUUUAUCUUCUCUUGUGCACAUCUUGUAGUCUUGAAUUGAAACCCCUCGCAGUCAAAUGCGGUUUGGGAGGUUGGGCGUGAGCCCUCCUUCUGCUUCUUCAAGGCUAUGUUUUCAUAUACACUAUAAAGUUACAGAAUGUCUUUUAACGAUUGUGCUAGUCGCAGUCAUUAAACCUAUACAACUUUCAGCAACGGAUCUCUUGGCUCUCCUAUCGAUGAAGAACGCAGCGAAAUGCGAUAAGUAAUGUGAAUUGCAGAAUUCAGUGAAUCAUCGAAUCUUUGAACGCACCCUGCGCCCUUUGGUAUUCCGAAGGGCAUGCCUGUUUGAGUGUCAUUAAAUUAUCAACCUUGCUCUCGCUUUUACCGGCUUGAGUGAGGCUUGGAUGUGAGGGCUUGCUGGCUUCCUUCAGUGGAUGGUCUGCUCCCUUUAAAUGCAUUAGUGGAAUCCUUUGUGGACCGUCACUUGGUGUGAUAAUUAUCUAUGCCAUCUUGACUUUGAAGCAAAACUUAUGGGAAUCCGCUCAUAACCGUCUUCGGACAAUCAUUGACAUUUUGACCUCAAAUCAGGUAGGACUACCCGCUGAACUUAAGCAUAUCAAUAAGCGGAGGAAAAGAAACUAACAAGGAUUCCCCUAGUAACUGCGAGUGAAGCGGGAAAAGCUCAAAUUUAAAAUCUGGCGGUUCUUGUAGCCGUCCGAGUUGUAAUUUAGAGAA
rnacentral:misc_RNA from 1 species